AUGCAAGUCGAGCGGACAGAUGGGAGCUUGCUCCCUGAUGUUAGCGGCGGACGGGUGAGUAACACGUGGGUAACCUGCCUGUAAGACUGGGAUAACUCCGGGAAACCGGGGCUAAUACCGGAUGGUUGUCUGAACCGCAUGGUUCAGACAUAAAAGGUGGCUUCGGCUACCACUUACAGAUGGACCCGCGGCGCAUUAGCUAGUUGGUGAGGUAACGGCUCACCAAGGCGACGAUGCGUAGCCGACCUGAGAGGGUGAUCGGCCACACUGGGACUGAGACACGGCCCAGACUCCUACGGGAGGCAGCAGUAGGGAAUCUUCCGCAAUGGACGAAAGUCUGACGGAGCAACGCCGCGUGAGUGAUGAAGGUUUUCGGAUCGUAAAGCUCUGUUGUUAGGGAAGAACAAGUGCCGUUCAAAUAGGGCGGCACCUUGACGGUACCUAACCAGAAAGCCACGGCUAACUACGUGCCAGCAGCCGCGGUAAUACGUAGGUGGCAAGCGUUGUCCGGAAUUAUUGGGCGUAAAGGGCUCGCAGGCGGUUUCUUAAGUCUGAUGUGAAAGCCCCCGGCUCAACCGGGGAGGGUCAUUGGAAACUGGGGAACUUGAGUGCACAAGAGGAGAGUGGAAUUCCA
rnacentral:rRNA from 1 species